CAGCAGCCGCGGUAAUACGUAGGUGGCAAGCGUUGUCCGGAUUUAUUGGGCGUAAAGCGAGCGCAGGCGGUUCUUUAAGUCUGAUGUGAAAGCCCCCGGCUCAACCGGGGAGGGUCAUUGGAAACUGGAGAACUUGAGUGCAGAAGAGGAGAGUGGAAUUCCACGUGUAGCGGUGAAAUGCGUAGAUAUGUGGAGGAACACCAGUGGCGAAGGCGACUCUCUGGUCUGUACCUGACGCUGAGGCUCGAAAGCGUGGGGAGCAAACAGGAUUAGAUACCCUGGUAGUCCACGCCGUAAACGAUGAGUGCUAAGUGUUGGAGGGUUUCCGCCCUUCAGUGCUGCAGCUAACGCAUUAAGCACUCCGCCUGGGGAGUACGACCGCAAGGUUGAAACUUAAAGGAAUUGGCGGG
rnacentral:rRNA from 1 species